ACAGGUGUAGCUCAGUUGAUAGAGUGUGUGCCCAGCAUGCACAAGGUCCUGGGUUCAAACCCCAGCUCCCAUA
rnacentral:tRNA from 1 species